GCUUGUCUCAAAGAUUAAGCCAUGCAUGUCUAAGUGUAAAUACGUCUACACUGUGAAACUGCGAAUGGCUCAUUAAAUCAGUUAUCGUUUAUUUGAUGAUCUCUUGUUACAUGGAUAACCGUAGUAAUUCUAGAGCUAAUACAUGCAUCAAAACCAGUAAUGGUUGUAUUUAUUAGAUUGAAACCGAUGCGGGGUAACCCGGAUUUUGGUGAUUCAUAAUAACUUUCGGAGCGAGUAAUCGCUGCAUCAUUCAAGUUUCUGCCCUAUCAGCUUUGGAUGGUAGGGUAUUGGCCUACCAUGGCUUUAACGGGUAACGGAGAAUUAGGGUUCGAUUCCGGAGAGGGAGCCUGAGAAAUGGCUACCACAUCCAAGGAAGGCAGCAGG
rnacentral:rRNA from 1 species